rnacentral:rRNA from 1 species
AGAGUUUGAUCAUGGCUCAGAACGAACGCUGGCGGCGUGCCUAACACAUGCAAGUCGAACGCGAAAGGGAGCAAUCCCCGGUAGCGUGGCAGACGGGUGAGUAACACGUGGGUAACCUACCCGGAGGUGGGGGAUAACCCUUCGAAAGGAGGGCUAAUACCGCAUGACACCGUGGGGACCUCGGUCCUUGCGAUCAAAGCUGGCCUCUGUUUACAAGCUAGCGCCACCGGAUGGGCCCGCGCCCCAUUAGCUAGUUGGUGAGAUAACGGCUCACCAAGGCGACGAUGGGUAGCCGGCCUGAGAGGGCGAUCGGCCACACUGGAACUGCGACACGGUCCAGACUCCUACGGGAGGCAGCAGUGAGGAAUCUUGCGCAAUGGGCGAAAGCCUGACGCAGCGACGCCGCGUGGAGGAUGAAGGUCUUCGGAUUGUAAACUCCUGUCGAGUGGGACGAAUGCCGUGAGGGUGAACAAUCCUUACGGUUGACGGUACCGCUGGAGGAAGCCCCGGCUAACUCGUGCCAGCAGCCGCGGUA